rnacentral:rRNA from 1 species
CACGAAGCGGUGGAGCAUGUGGUUUAACUCGAUGCAACGCGAAGAACCUUACCUGGGCUUGACAUCCCGGGAAUCCCUUGGAAACAAGGGAGUGCCCUUCGGGGAACCUGGAGACAGGUGCUGCAUGGCUGUCGUCAGCUCGUGUCGUGAGAUGUAGGGUUAAGUCCCGCAACGAGCGCAACCCCUAUCUCUAGUUGCCAGCGAUUCGGUCGGGGACUCUAGAGAUACUGCCCCGGUUAACGGGGAGGAAGGUGGGGAUGACGUCAAGUCCUCAUGGCCCUUAUGCCCAGGGCUACACACGUGCUACAAUGGGCGGUACAAAGGGUAGCGAUGCCGCGAGGUGAAGCCAAUCCCAAAAAGCCGUCCACAGUUCGGAUUGGAGUCUGCAACUCGACUCCAUGAAGCCGGAAUCGCUAGUAAUCGUGGAUCAGCAUGCCACGGUGAAUACGUUCCCGGGCCUU